UGGGGAAUAUUGCACAAUGGGCGAAAGCCUGAUGCAGCGACGCCGCGUGAGGGACGAAGGCCUUCGGGUUGUAAACCUCUUUCAGCUCCGACGAAGCGAGAGUGACGGUAGGAGCAGAAGAAGCACCGGCCAACUACGUGCCAGCAGCCGCGGUAAUACGUAGGGUGCAAGCGUUGUCCGGAAUUAUUGGGCGUAAAGAGCUCGUAGGCGGUUUGUUGCGUCGGCUGUGAAAACCCGGGGCUCAACUCCGGGCCUGCAGCCGAUACGGGCAGACUAGAGUUCGGCAGGGGAGACUGGAAUUCCUGGUGUAGCGGUGAAAUGCGCAGAUAUCAGGAGGAACACCGGUGGCGAAGGCGGGUCUCUGGGCCGAAACUGACGCUGAGGAGCGAAAGCGUGGGGAGCAAACA
rnacentral:rRNA from 1 species